rnacentral:rRNA from 1 species
UCUUAGGUAAUGGANGAAGUCUGACGGAGCAACGCCGCGUGAGUGAUGAAGGUUUUCGGAUCGUAAAGCUCUGUUGUUAGGGAAGAACAAGUACNNGUUCGAAUAGGGCGGUACCUUGACGGUACCUAACCAGAAAGCCACGGCUAACUACGUGCCAGCAGCCGCGGUAAUAAU